rnacentral:misc_RNA from 1 species
GAAAUGCGAUAAGUAAUGUGAAUUGCAGAAUUCAGUGAAUCAUCGAAUCUUUGAACGCACAUUGCGCCCGUCAGUACUCUGGCGGGCAUGCCUGUCCGAGCGUCAUUACAACCCUCAAGCCCCCCGGGCUUGGUGUUGGGGAUCGGCCUCCGCCGCGAGGCUGGCCGUCCCCGAAAUCCAGUGGCGGCCGCGCCCCAGCUUCCCCUGCGUAGUAGCACACCUCGCAGCGGGUGGCGGCGCGGUCCUGCCGUGAAACCCCCAUCUCCACCAAGGUUGACCUCGGAUCAGGUAGGAAUACCCGCUGAACUUAA